UACGGAGGGGGCUAGCGUUGCUCGGAAUCACUGGGCGUAAAGGGCGCGUAGGCGGCCAUUCAAGUCGGGGGGUGAAAGCCUGUGGCUCAACCACAGAAUUGCCUUCGAUACUGUUUGGCUUGAGUUUGGUAGAGGUUGGUGGAACUGCGAGUGUAGAGGUGAAAUUCGUAGAUAUUCGCAAGAACACCAGUGGCGAAGGCGGCCAACUGGACCAACACUGACGCUGAGGCGGCGAAA
rnacentral:rRNA from 1 species